AGUGAACGCUGGCGGUAGGCCUAACACAUGCAAGUCGAACGGCAGCACAGUAAGAGCUUGCUCUUACGGGUGGCGCGUGGCGGACGGGUGAGGAAUACAUCGGAAUCUACUUUUUCGUGGGGGAUAACGUAGGGAAACUUACGAUAAUACCGCAUCCGACCUACGGGUGAAAGCAGGGGAUCUUCGGACCUUGCGCGAUUGAAUGAGCCGAUGUCGGAUUAGCUAGUUGGCGGGGUAAAGGCCCACCAAGGCGACGAUCCGUAGCUGGUCUGAGAGGAUGAUCAGCCACACUGGAACUGAGACACGGUCCAGACUCCUACGGGAGGCAGCAGUGGGGAAUAUUGGACAAUGGGCGCAAGCCUGAUCCAGCCAUACCGCGUGGGUGAAGAAGGCCUUCGGGUUGUAAAGCCCUUUUGUUGGGAAAGAAAAGCAGCAGGUUAAUACCCCGCUGUUCUGACGGUACCCAAAGAAUAAGCACCGGCUAACUUCGUG
rnacentral:rRNA from 1 species